AAUGAACGCUGGCGGCAUGCUUUACACAUGCAAGUCGAACGGCAGCACGGGUGCUUGCACCUGGUGGCGAGUGGCGAACGGGUGAGUAAUAUAUCGGAACGUGCCCUAGAGUGGGGGACAACCAGUCGAAAGAUUGGCUAAUACCGCAUACGAUCUCUGGAUGAAAGUGGGGGACCGCAAGGCCUCACGCUCCUGGAGCGGCCGAUAUCUGAUUAGCUAGUUGGUGGGGUAAAGGCCCACCAAGGCGACGAUCAGUAGCUGGUCUGAGAGGACGAUGGGCCACACUGGGCCUGAGACACGGCCCAGACUCAUACGGGAGGCAGCAGUGGGGAAUGUUGGACAAUGGGGGCAACCCUGAUCCAGCAAUGCCGCGUGAGUGAAGAAGGCCUUCGGGUUGUAAAGCUCUUUUGUCAGGGAAGAAAUUGCUCGGGUUAAUACCCUGGGUAGAUGACGGUACCUGAAGAAUAAGCACCGGCUAACUACGUGCCAGCAGCCGCCGUAA
rnacentral:rRNA from 1 species